AUGGGAAUUGAAGUGACACAGUUCCAUCAACUUCUUUGUGCAAUAAUUGAAAAUUUUUCCUCAUGCAGGAAUUAUAUUCUCAAAGUUAUUGUUACUGCCAACCCAUUUAAUUAUAAAAACAAGCAGGUGGACUCCCGGCGAGUAGGGGAUGGCGGCGGGGCAGGCGGCACCUUCCAGCCCUACCUGGACUCUUUGAGACAAGAGCUACAGCAGAGUGACCCGACGCUGUUGUCAGUAGCACUGGCGGUCGCCGCGGUGCUGCUGACGCUGGUGGUAUGGAAAUUCAUCUGGAGCCGAAAAAGCAGUCAAAGAACAGUUCUUCUUGUGGGUCUUUGUGACUCCGGGAAAACACUGCUGUUUGUCAGGCUGUUAACGGGCCAUUACAGAGACACGCAGACUUCUAUUACUGACAGCUCUGCAGUGUACAGAGUCAACAAUAACAGGGGUAAUAGUUUGACCUUGAUUGACCUGCCUGGGCAUGAAAGCUUGAGGCUUCAGUUCCUAGAGCGGUUUAAGUCUUCGGCAAGAGCUUUUGUGUUUGUUGUGGACAGUGCAUCAUUCCAGCGAGAGGUGAAAGACGUGGCCGAGUUUCUGUAUCAAGUCCUCCUAGACAGUAUGGGUCUGAAGAACACACCAUCAUUCUUAAUAGCCUGCAACAAGCAAGAUAUCACAAUGGCAAAAUCAGCAAAGUUAAUUCAGCAGCAACUUGAGAAAGAACUCAACACCUUACGAGUUACCCGCUCUGCUGCGCCCAGCACACUGGACAGUUCCAGCACUGUCCCUGCUCAUCUAGGAAAGAAAGGCAAAGAGUUUGAAUUCUCACAGCUGCCCUUCAAAGUGGAGUUCCUCGAGUGCAGUGCCAAGGGUGGGAGAGGGGAUGGAGGUUCUGCCAACGUCCAGGACCUGGAGAAAUGGCUGGCUAAAAUUGCCUGAGGGGCAGGUCCCGAGCACAGGCCGUAGCUGCGCGUGACUGGCAGUACUGGAAAAUGUGUGGUAGUCUGGAGUUGAUAAAGGCUACAAAAUUUAGUUAGGAAUGUUCCCUUGUUCUAGAAACAAAUGACUGUUCAUACCGGCUUGGCAGUUUUAAGUUCUUUUCUGUCAUUGUUUGCUUUUAAACAUUCAUUUUGAUGUCACUCUCGGAUUGUGUCCUUUAGCCUGUGCUUGAUUUAAGGUCAAGGUCUUUGUGACAUAACAAGCAGACUCCACACAGAGGAUACUGUUGAGACAUGUGUUUAUCAUCUAAAAAGUUUUCUUAUCCUUGGCUUUGUGCUUUGGUCUCUUUGCUGAAAAUAAACCAUCUGUUUAUGAAGGUAGUUGAUCUCCAGUUACCCCUUCCAUUCCGGGGCAAUAUAUGGUCUAAUAAGUGAAUUCUUAGGUUUAUAGAUAAUUUUCCCAAUUGUGAAAACCAGUAUAAAAGAACAUGGCGGAGUUGGCAGGGGUUGUUGAUCAGCUCACUGUCUUGUCCGUGCUGCAGCCUCAGCAGCAUGUCUAAAGGCUGGAUAGGAGCCCUUGGUGGUGUGGGAUUCCUGGCUGAUAGGAACAUACAUACUAAAUCCCCACGACUCGUGGCUGGUGGUUCGCUGCGGGGUGUGGGAGUGCUGAACAUGCCUUGGCAUCUGUGGAUGGCCUAGGGCUUGUGGCAUUCCAUUUGCUGCCCAGUCAGCUUAUUUUGUACCCUGAACUAGAGUGCUGUGGAACAAAAAAUGUAAAAAGGGUUUUUGUAGAUUCUGGGGUUCUGUAUUCAUGCUUUUGAAAAAGUGAUGUUCUCUCUUAAAUAUUUGGCUUUUUUAUUGCCUUUGUAAGUGGUUAAUACUGUGCUUGAUAAAUAAAAAAGGCUUUUGGUUUUUGA